AUUGAACGCUGGCGGAAUGCUUUACACAUGCAAGUCGAACGGCAGCACGGGGGCAGCCCUGGUGGCGAGUGGCGAACGGGUGAGUAAUACAUCGGAACGUGCCCGGUCGUGGGGGAUAACGUAGCGAAAGUUACGCUAAUACCGCAUACGAUCUGAGGAUGAAAGCGGGGGACCUUCGGGCCUCGCGCGAUCGGAGCGGCCGAUGUCAGAUUAGGUAGUUGGUGGGGUAAAGGCCUACCAAGCCGACGAUCUGUAGCUGGUCUGAGAGGACGACCAGCCACACUGGGACUGAGACACGGCCCAGACUCCUACGGGAGGCAGCAGUGGGGAAUUUUGGACAAUGGGCGCAAGCCUGAUCCAGCCAUUCCGCGUUCAGGACGAAGGCCUUCGGGUUGUAAACUGCUUUUGUACGGAACGAAAAGGCUCUGGCUAAUACCUGGGGCUCAUGACGGUACCGUAAGAAUAAGCACCGGCUAACUACGUG
rnacentral:rRNA from 1 species